GCUCCAGUGGCGCAAUCGGUUAGCGCGCGGUACUUAUACAGCAGUACAUGCAGAGCAAUGCCGAGGUUGUGAGUUCGAGCCUCACCUGGAGCA
rfam:Homo sapiens chromosome 2, GRCh38 reference primary assembly.